AUUGAACGCUGGCGGCAGGCCUAACACAUGCAAGUCGAACGAGUGGCGGACGUGUGAGUAAUGUCUGAGAAACUUCCUGAUGGAGGGGGAUAACCACUGGAAACGGUAGCUAAUACCGCAUACCAUCGGAUGUGCCCUGAUGGGAUUAGCGAGUCGGUGGGGUAACGUCUCACCUAGGCGAUGAUCCAUAGCUGUUCUGAGAGGAUGACCAGCGCCACUGGAAAUGAGACACGGUGCAGACUCCUACGGGAGGCAGCAGUGGGGAAUAUUGCACAAUGGGCGCAAGCCUGAUGCAGCCAUGCCGCGUGUAUGAAGAAGGCAUUCGGGUUGUAAAGUACUUUCAGCGGGGAGGCGUUACCCGCAGAAGAAGCACCGGCUAACUCCGUGCCAGCAGCCGCGGUAAUUC
rnacentral:rRNA from 1 species